GACGAACGCUGGCGGCGUGCUUAACACAUGCAAGUCGAACGGUGAACUCCGCUUGCGGGGGGAUCAGUGGCGAACGGGUGAGUAACACGUGGGCAACCUGCCCUCAGCUCUGGGAUAACUCCAAGAAAUUGGGGCUAAUACCGGAUAUGACCGCUGACCGCAUGGUCUGGUGGUGGCAAGAUUUAUCGGCUGGGGAUGGGCCCGCGGCCUAUCAGCUUGUUGGUGGGGUAGUGGCCUACCAAGGCGACGACGGGUAGCCGGCCUGAGAGGGUGACCGGCCACACUGGGACUGAGACACGGCCCAGACUCCUACGGGAGGCAGCAGUGGGGAAUAUUGCGCAAUGGGCGAAAGCCUGACGCAGCGACGCCGCGUGGGGGAUGACGGCCUUCGGGUUGUAAACCUCUUUCAGCAGGGACGAAGCGAAAGUGACGGUACCUGCAGAAGAAGCACCGGCCAACUACGUG
rnacentral:rRNA from 1 species